GUCUGUCCCUCGGCUCCGGAGGGGGGGGGGGUGUAAUAGCGCGGGAGGUGGGGCUAAGGGGACCCUCAUCCUCCCUUUCCGACAAGUGGGGGUCCUGAGCGCUGCCCAGAAGGGGUCCAGAGAAUGUUGUGGGCUGGGGCACACCCGCCGGGGCAGAAAUUGGAGGACACCACCGACGUCGACAGAAUCCUUUCUAUCCUUCCUUUCAGCUGCCCGGUGUUCUCCACCCCUGCGUUAGCACUCUGUAGUCUGGGGACCUCCCGGGAACGUCCCGGGGCUAGCAACCAAGGGGGCUCUCGGAUGCUCUGUGGAUCGCCGCUUCGCCCUUACUUUGGGGACGGUCACACGCGUCCCGCUUCCCCCGGUCGCUUUAGAUCAGGCGUCUGCGCCCUCCCCGGCUCCUCACCCCCACCCCCAGAGUCAAAUGUGGGCCUCUCCUGGAAAUCCUUUGCGAAGGGGACAAACUUUUGAGUGGACGAAAAUCUAUUGGAGCCUGUCCAGAGCAGGCCCUGCUCUGAGACCCUGAGGCUGGCUGGCAUACACUCUGCCUCUGUCUGGAGUUUAUAAUGAGGAUGCAAAUACAGGGAUUCAAAGAAGAGGCCCUAAGUGAGAAGCCCGGGGAUUUGCUAACCAGGGGCAGGGUACCAGUUGUGACUUUGACCUUUAUAGCCUUAACUCACUGUAGACAAUUCUGCAUUUUCCAUUUCCACUCCAUCCCUGUUUCUGGGAGAGAGGUGCUGGUGUCCCCAAGGUUACUGCUCUCUGGGGAUGAGGGUCAGUAUCACAAAUUAAAACCUUAAACUUUCUAAAAACGAAAAGCACAUUUCCCUAUUCUUUGUGUGUUUGGGAGGUUGUGUUUCCCACUAGCCUAGCAGACUCUGACCCCUGAACAUCAGAAUGUGGAUUCCCCUCAUUGUCUACACCAACCCCCCAAGAAAGGCUCAAUCCAGGUGACUGUGGAAAGGAUGAGCCCACACUCACUUCCUCAUCCCUCAUCUGCUUUGAAGGACUCAGGACCUCAGCAGGCUGAACAGCCAUGAGGAGCGAAGCUGAGUGGCUUCCCACCUCCUUUGAGCUCCUCGCAGUUCUGUUUUGUGUGUGGUUUGUCCUCGCCCCUCCUCGGACCUGGAAAAUGAAUGUUUAACCCCGCUCUGCUCAUCUCUCCCUGUGCCCUGUUCCUGUCAGCCUCAAAGCUGCCGGGAGGAAGGACCUGCAGCUUCCAGUCCUGCUCAUAGUCAAUGAAAAUUCAAAUUCUCUUCUCAGCAGAAGGGCAGCUGCCUUCUUCUCCGUUUUCCCUGCACACAUUGAUCUGUCGCGAGGGCACCUGGGGGUCAGAAGAGAGGCCAGGCUCUUUUAAUUUGGUCUGGAAUUAGCAUAUCCUAUCACACCAAAGGCCAGGAUUUCCACAUCCAGGAGCAGGAGGUCUUCACCCAGACCUAGACCUGUUCUUAGACCCCUCAAGCCAGCAAUGAUAUCCACAUUUGUUGAGGUGGAGACCUAGGAGGGAAAAUGAGCAAUUUGGCCCAUUUUUCAGGCCAGUAGCUGCAGCUGUCUGCUCUGUUAAUAUUUUCUUCAGUAUUCAUCACAGGCAAAGCACCGCCUUUACCUCGGAGUGCCUCGAGGAUAGGAAGAUCUUUGCCACCCUGAGACCUCCGUGUGUUGUGGAUAGAUACACAAAUAAACAGAUGGGGAAAAAAAAGA
rnacentral:lncRNA from 1 species